rnacentral:rRNA from 1 species
UAUUAUUAAUAUAAUAAUAUUUAGGUAUAAAAAUUAUAUGAUUUAAAAUUUAAAUGUGAAAAUUCAUAGCUUUAUAUUAAUAAGAUUUAUAAUUUUAUAAAUAAAAACCAGGAUUAGAUACCCUGUUAUUUUAUAAUAAAAAAAAUAUCCUAAGAGAUUUUAAUCAAAAAAACUUUGACGGUAUUAAUAUUUAUAAAGGAGUUUGUUUUUUAAUAGAUAAUCCGCAAUUUACCUUACUUAAAUUAUAUUUGUAUAUCACCGUAUAGAUUUUAUUUAAAAUUUCAUAAUGAACAAUUUCAAAAUAUCAGGUCAUAACGCAGUUUUUUUAAGAUAAAAUGAACUACAGUAAUCUAUUAUAAACAGAUUAUUUUUUGAAAUAAAAAAUAUGAAGAAGGAUUUAUUAGUAAAUAAAAAAUAAAUUAUUAUAUUGAAAAUUAUUAUUAAUAUG